rnacentral:rRNA from 1 species
UACGUAGGGUGCGAGCGUUGUCCGGAAUUAUUGGGCGUAAAGAGCUUGUAGGUGGCUCGUUGCGUCGGGAGUGAAAACCUGCGGCUUAACCGCAGGCCUGCUUCCGAUACGGGCGAGCUAGAGUUCGGCAGGGGAGACUGGAAUUCCUGGUGUAGCGGUGAAAUGCGCAGAUAUCAGGAGGAACACCGACGGCGCAGGCAGCGUCCUGGCCGCUUGCUGACACUGAGGCACGAAAGCUGGGGGAGCAAACAGG